rnacentral:lncRNA from 1 species
AUUUUGCUUCAACUAAACAAAAUCCAUAGCUUGGCUAAAUAAAGAGAUGCAGAGCUCAAAUACAUCACCUUACUACAUAUUAGCAUCACCAUACAAAUAAACUCAUGAAUUAUAGCAUAUCAAGAUAUAAUAUAUUCCUCAAAUCACUACUCCACAUAAAUAUGCGUGGAAAGACCUUCGGCUAUAAAGCAAUCCCUUACUCCAUAUUAAGUCGCCACCACCACACAGUAGCAUAAGCACAGAUACACAAGAUAGCCAAUACGUUGAGAUAUAUUUGAAAGUCAGCUAAUUAUCCUUAUUCUUCAACAGCCUUACAUAAAGUCAUUUAAUGAAACUCUUCAACAGCCCACAUAUAAUGAGAAGUAAAUAAAUAUAAAAAAUGCCCUUUAUAAAACCAGGAUUCGUCCUCUAUCCAAUUUUUAGUCGAACAAAGAAACAAUCUUUCUUAAAUCUUACAUUUCAAAUCACAGGAAACCCCCAACAAAGAAUUUAAGGGAAAAAAAAUCAAGCAAAGAACAAACCAGUUCAGAUUCUUCGUUUGAAAUAAAAAUACUAUUAGUCAAAGGAACAUUAUUAUGGCAGCAAGCAUUUACCUUUUUAUGCAGUGCUCGGAGACCUUGUUGGUGAUGUGCUCGGAGAUCUCAGCCACGGCAAAACAGGGAAGUAAAGCAAUCGCUUACUUCCAGCCAAAAAUCUAAACCAAAACAGGGAAGUAAAGCAAUCACAUAGAGUUAAUUAACAAAAUCUAAACCAAAAAACUGGACAAUAUAAAUAAAAAGGUGAAUCGCAGAAGAAGGGUACCGCAGCUAUGAAUCGGAGAACAGGAUGUGGCGUUAAUAAUUCAAGCUAAUGAAUUUAUAGAUAAAAAUCUAGGGUUUAAGUUUCCUUCGAUAAAAUUCUUUCCAAAAAAAAUUCUUUCUAAAGUUUAUAACCAUUCUAUAUUUACAUAAUCUGCAGCAACCGAAAAUUAAUUAACAUAAAAAUCUAGGGUUUAAGUUUCCAUUGUUAAAAAUCUUUCCAAAAUUCUGGAAAAAAGAAGAAAAAUAAGUCAAACAUUUAAUACUUACCAUAUGGGGGAAGGGAGGUGGCAGAUCGAAUUCUGGUUUUCUGGUGGUGGGAGGGGCAGAUCGGCGGCCAUGGCUGCCGUGGUCGCCGGAAAUCGCAAAGAGGCGGUGAGGAUUUGAGGAUCUAGGGGCGCGGCGAUUCGCGGCAGGUGCUGGCGAGGCGAAUCCAUGGUUGACUAACGCAUUCAAUUUGUUUCCUGCGACAAUUCACAACUAAAGUCAUUUCCAGAAUUUCAUUAUUCUAAACGCAUUCAAUUUGUUUCCUAAAAUAAUACUUACCAUGGCUGAUGGCGGCGGGGAGGGGAAGGUCAGAGAAUCGAUGAGGGUGCUUUCAAAUAGCCGCGGCAGGGGAAGGAGAGAGUCACUUGAGGCUGGACGACGAAUCGCGGUGGGGGGAAGGAAGAACUGGCGAAGCAGAUCAUGGCGGUGGGAGGGGCGGGGCGCGGUGGGGCAGAUCGCUGCGGGGGCCAGGCACGGUGGGUGGAGGGAAGGAGACGGCGAGGCAGAUCGCGGAGGUGGGCG